rnacentral:lncRNA from 1 species
AGAAGACGAACACAGUCACCCAGACAGCCAUCAGCGAAGAAGGGAGGGAAGGGCGAUGAAGGGACGCACCUGGGGGUCUCUGGCUGGGGCACCAGGGGCAGCCCAGCAGGAGACUGUGGCCACAGAGCCUGGUAGUUGGAUCUGACAGCCAGGAAGAGUAAGGACCAGCGAACAGGUCUAGGGAGUUCGGUGGGUGCAAUGCCUGCCCCUCUAACACACACAGGAGAUUAAGGACACCCAGGGGCCACCUAGGCCAGGGGGCGCUGGUGGCAGACACACAAUUCUUGGCCUGCGGGUGUGGUAGCAGGAGGCCUGGGCAGGGCCCUUCCCAAGCUGGCCACAUUUACAUAACAAAAGGUCAAAAUUGGAGCCACUUGUGCAAGGGCUAUUUAUAAGAACCAGUCUCAACCGCUUUUGGCUCCCCCGUUCCUUCCCUUCCUGAUCUGCUCUCACCGCCUCCCUGCCCAGAGGGCCCAGCCCCCUAGCCCGCCUGGCCUGACCACAUGGCCUUCCCUCUCCAGAGGUUUCACUGCCUAAGGGCUCACCCAAGCUGCAGGCCUGGGCUUUCAAUACCGGCCCACCAAAGCCUUGGGCAGCUGCCGCCAGGAAACGAGGGGUUCCCUCCCACCCCCAGAGCUCUGGGUCCUGCAGGAGGGGGGAUCCUGAGGUGGUGGGUCCUUGCACCCCACACCUGCCAGCCUGGGCCCCCACGGAAUAGAGCCGGGGUCGGGGAAGGGGCGUGCAGCGGCCCGUCCCCGUUUCCCCUUCCCCCACUCCACCCCCAGGGCCAGGGAGGCUCAGCAGGUCCCUCAGGAAUGUGACCAGACCCGGGGUGCCGGCCCAGAGCUGGGAGGCCUAGGCUGCAGCUGGCCAGCUGUCUCUCCAGCCCCUAGUGCAGCUCCCCUCUGGGUGGGGGGUGUGAGGGGAGGGGGUGCAUGGCUGGUCCAGGACCCCACCAAAGGCCCAGAGGGCAGCAGAACCAGCUCUGUUGGUAGGAAGCCCAAGGGCGUCCACAGUUAGCAAGGGUUGGGCCCAGUGGGCUAAUGCUGGGAUGAGGCCAGUAGGGCAGGGGCCACUGAAACACUGGCGGGAGCAGUCGAAAAACUGGGUAGAGGGUCUCGGUGGCACACUGGAGGCAAUCAGAUACCACCAUCCAGCCCUGUGCCACUUCAUCUGCUCCCCAACCACUGCCCCUCAGGACCCAGUCAACCAUGGGUAGAGCGCAUGCCAAACUCUGCAGCCAGGGGUCACCUGACCUUGCCAGAGGCCAGGCCAGCUACUGGAUGCCGCGCAGGGAGUGGGUGGCAGAAUAGGACUGGGGGGCACCUGAGUGCCAUGGGGGUGGGAACACCCUCCGUCAGUGCCCACUGCCUGGCCCUGACGGGCACUUUACAAGCCCAAGGCUAGCACUAGGUCUCCCCACCAAGGAAGGAUGGCCCCAGGCUGGGUCAGCUGUGAUGUAGAACAGGGCAGGGCUCCUCCCUGAACCCUCCACUUGAGUUAGGGGGUGUCAGAGCCACCUGCAGAAAGUUCACAGCAAGCACAAUGCCACCAUGCGUGCCAUCCACACCAGCUGGGCCAAGUCUGGGCCACAUCUAGGCCGCCACUGUGUCUGCGAGCAGCAAUGCAGCCUCACCCCAUGGCGGGGCAGGGGGGUGGCACACGCCAUCCUGCUGCGAAACGCCUACUAAGCACUGCUCCUUCCUUCUCAGCCACAGAGCUCUGCCCUACCCGCUCACCGCUGGACAUGAAACAGCAAGUGCCUAUCCUGGAGGGCUCCGCCUGGGGAGUGCCAGGCAAGGAGAAUGAGGCCUGGAGAGCUUAAGAGACUGGCCCACGGAGGAAGCAGGAGUCAUCUUUCCACAAAACUACACUUCCCCAAAAGCUGAACUCUUGGACAAGGAGCCCACUGCCAAACCUAAGAGUAACAAAUUUCAGCAAAUAAAAGGAAGUGCCAUUUCCAAUGGCAUCCUCGAAUACUCUAAGAGGUGGGGCUGGCAGAAUCCAUCAAUAGGCCUCCAGAGGCCUGCUACUAAGAGCCAGCAACGCUGCUGAAAGCGGCACUGCCUCUGCAGGCUGUGUGACCAGGACCCGGCGGGGGCCCUGCACCUGGAAGCAGAGGGGGUCGGUGGGGGAGGGGUGCUACCAGGAAGCAAGAUGUGCAUGCUGCCUGCUGGGGGCAUGAAGUCAAAGUCCCCUCCUGCCCAAAGUGGCUAGGCCAGCCCUAGGCUGCCUUAUCAGCAUCAACACAUGCCUGGAAUGUGGGACUUUGGCAACAACCCUCUCCCUUCGGCCAGCACGGGGCUGACGCCUGGUCCCUGGGCUCUGGUUCACAGUCAGAGGACAACCACCUUGAAGCACCAGAACCCGCACCCCCAGCCCAUCUACCAGAAGACAAUCUACCAAGAGUCACCGAGAGGAGCUAUCCUGCCUGUGUCCCCACACCACCAAGGGCCAUGUCUGAGCACCUCGUUUGUCCACACUCAGAGAAUCUCAAGAGCUCGGCUCUGGUCCCUGCAACGUCCAGACCAUCCCCCACAUGGCUCUCCUGGAGGUGUUCGGCAAAGGCACAGGCUGCCGUGGGGCAGAAGAUUCCCACAUACCAGACAGUAAGGAGCUGCGUGUGACUGGAAGGAUGAGGACGACCCAGAGAACGCUCUCUGGCCCCUGGUCCUUGGGGAGGAAUGGGGGACCUGCAGGGGACCACCUUCCCACUCUGGGAGCCAGAUUCCCUGGCUUUGUCCAGAGCAGCCAACCCACUACCCCACUCAAAAUGAACACCUCAGCUGCCCUCCAGCCCAAGCACUGCGCAGAGUAAGGAGUCCUCACUCACAAAUGUGUCCGAGGCUUUCACACACUUCACCUGGAGCUUCGCCACUCACUUCUUAGAUGUACGACUCUAACUUCUCUGAGCCACUUGUACAACGAGGACUGACAAGAUGAUGAGGACCACACCGGUGUGUUCUGACAACUGAACCGGGCAUAGAAUGCCCACUGCCAGGCUGAGCCCAGGAACGAGCCCAGGAUGAGUGCUUACCCUCUUCACCACUACCUUCCUAGCCUUCUGUCAGAACUCCGUGGGGACCAUCCUCUUCCCAUCUUCUAAGCCAAGUACCCUGGUACAAGCCAGACAGAAACUAUAAUAGCAGCUGCUUCCAUAAAGGGGAAGGGCCAUGGGGUCCCGGACAGGGCUGGGGUGAAGGGGCGCAAGACCUAGGGCAGGAAUCCACCCCCAGAUCACUCACUCAGGACAGGACCACCUGGACCCAGCUACCAAGAUGUGCACCACCCCCUUCCUUCUGAGCCCCUUUUCCCAUCUCCUCUACUGCCCCUGGCCAGGUUGCUGUCCCACCUCUAAGAGGCAAGAUUUCCUACCCAGGAUGCUGACCAAAACCACACCCAGGGGCCUACCCGUCCCCUCACAUGAUAGGCUGCUCCUAGCUGGCAGGAGCCGUCUUAUAGCCUCUCUCCCUCAAAUACAAACAAAACCCCAGAACAACCUAUUGUUCUGUUCCAGCAAAGGGGGCCAGGCCCAGCCAGGCCCUACCUGAAGCUCUCUGUCUCCCGUCCCCCUUCAGUCCCCUCCCACUCGUCCUUCUCUGCCCCUAUUAGUGGCCUCAUAUACCUUGUCCAGAUAACACAGCCCAAGAAACCAACCUCAGGGACAAAUCUCUUCUCUUCCAGGGAGAAGAAGACAGAGGUCCCAGGAGUCCCAGGGGCCCCCAUUACUGGCCACCUCCGCUCAACCCAAACUGCACUAUGUGAGGUCCCGCCAGACUACAUACAGGCCAACGAGAGCCCAAGAAUGCAGCCAGGAAACCAGGCCAGGCAGACUCCAAAAGCCCGUGCUACGGGGUCAGUAGGACCCGCCUACAGCUGAGGGCUAUAGGCAGCUCUCCAGAGGACCUCCCAGGAGAAGCCAGCAGUGCACAUGGGCUAGGUUCCUCCUGCUGUUCACCCUCUGUGCCCAGUAACUACCCAGGAACAGGCAUGACUGACUCUGCCAACUCAUUCACUGGGUAACCGCUGACCCCACCAGGCCCUCGGAGUAAAGCAGUUAGUGAGAACCGCAGGUAAAAGCGCGGGCUACUCAUCCCUCCGCCUGUGGAUUCUAUUAUCAACAAAGAUGCAUCACCUGCUAGAAGAGCGGUUCUCAAACUUGGCUGCACAUCAGGUUCACUUCAAAAGCUUCAGGAAAAGCUAGUGCCUUGGGCCCACCCCAGAGACAGGUAUAGCUCAAGAAACCCGGCAGGAGAGUCAAUCACUGCUCAAGGUCAUGACGGGAGUAAAUGGCAGAGCCAGCAAUGCACUACAGACUUUGCGACCGA